CUACGGGGGGCUGCAGUGGGGAAUCUUGCGCAAUGGGCGAAAGCCUGACGCAGCAACGCCGCGUGAGCGAAGAAGGCCUUCGGGUUGUAAAGCUCUGUCAGGGGGAAAGAAGGCACCUGGGUUAAUAGCCCAAGGGUUGACGGUACCCCCAAAGGAAGCCACGGCUGACUACGUGCCAGCAGCCGCGGUAAUACGUAGGUGGCGAGCGUUGUCCGGAAUCAUUGGGCGUAAAGAGCGCGUAGGUGGUUUGUCAGGUCCGAUGUGAAAUCCUGGGGCUCAACUCCAGGCGUGCAUUGGAAACCGGCUUACUAGAGUCUGGGAGAGGAGAGUGGAAUUCCUGGUGUAGCGGUGAAAUGCGUAGAUAUCAGGAGGAACACCAGUAGCGAAGGCGGCUCUCUGGAACAGUACUGACGCUGAGGCGCGAAAGCUAGGGGAGCGAACAGGAUUAGAUACCCUCGUAGUC
rnacentral:rRNA from 1 species